rnacentral:tRNA from 1 species
UGGCUCGUAGCCUGUUAGGUAAAGGCACCUGUCUUAUAAACAGGAGAUAGUGGGUUCAAAUCCCACCGAGCCAA